GGCCCUAACAGUAUAAAACACCUAGACUGACUUCACCUUAAACAUAAAUUGAACAAAGCUCUUGAGAUUCGUUAAUAACAAGAAUAUGCAGUCGUCAACUAUCAUUUGUUUGCUCCUUUUUUUCUCAUGUAUUACUCUGACCGAGCAGCUGAAGUUAUGUUCUAAAACUUGCAAUGGUUGUAAAGGAUGUUGUGCAAGAAGAGGCUGCAAUUCUUUCAAUUCUUGGAGUUGUGUAAACAAUAAAUGUUAUUGUGAUUGUGGAGGAUAUCGUACAAAGGGUAAUAAGAAGUAAAAGAAAAUAGAAGCCAGCAACAAUAAGUAACGCUUUAUUUAAACUCAUUGUAAGAUGUAAACCUUACCAAUAUAUACAGAGUAUUAUAUAAAUUGAUAGAAUUUUCA